UAGUAGAAAUUUAAAUCAAAUGUCCACAUUUACUGAAUACAAGCUCUUAUUCUUUUUUCCCCUCUUUUUCUACAUGAGUACUCAUGCAUGCUGUUAGUUCCCUCAGGUCUGUUAUUCAACACACAAGAGCACACCACAGCUCAGCUGUGUGUUUCAGCUGGUUAGUACUGAAAACACAUCCCAAAUAACCGACGGCUAUUCAUUCGCAGUGUUUCUCAGGGAGUAGUCGAGUGUAAUAGUAUUGAAAUUUCAACAUCUAAUAUCCAAAAUUGCUCACAAUCUGAGAUAUGGAACUGACUUGUCUCCCCAUUGGUUAGCGGUCAUGUGACGGUUAUAAACAAUCAGCCUGGCUCCAUGCUUUCUUUUCUGUCAUGCACUUUGGUCUUUUACUCAUUAAGCAGGCUGGCAAGGCAGCUUCUUCAGGGAGGCUGCGAUGUUUAUUACAGUGCUUCACGGUGACAACCAAAGGAGUCUGUUCAAUACUCAGUGUAAAACAGUAGUCCUCCUGGACUGGAUCAAGGUCAAGUGUGGAUGUAGACGUGAAGGUAGCUGAGAUAGAUUUGGCGAAUUUGAACGGUCAGAUGAUGAAUCUGCCUCAUCACCAGUCUGCAGUUGCUUCAGACGUUCUGGGACAGAGGGAGGAAUACAUCCUCGUCAGCAUGAGCCGGACUGGUGAUCCAUCAAACCCAGUAUACACUCCAUUGCUUCAUAACUAUCACCUCCCUGAUCCUCAGUGCCUAGUUAAACUACCAGAAGCAAAAACUGAACAGGAAACUUGUGCAUCUGCAGAAGAAGGCAGAUUGAACAGAACGUUGACCUCAUCCGUAUCCAAUGAGAGUCAGCCAAAACCCCACAAACAAAUCCGCUUCUCAAGUGCAUCGACUUUUCAAGUAUACCCUGUGUAACAUGGUAUCAUAUUGUACUACUAUUGCUAGCCACAAUAUUAAAACCAAAAACCUGCCAAAUAUUGUUUAAUCCAUUAUUAUAUUGUUCACAUGAAGACCAAGCCACCUUCUCCUAUUGCCCCAUGGUCCAGUUCUAAUGCUCACACACCCAGUGUAGGAGAUGACUAUUUGAAUUUCAGUGUUUCAGUAGCUCUCCUAUGGGAUCGGACCAGACGGGUUAGCUUUCAGCCAUGUGCAUCAGCAAGCUUUGGGGGGCCAUGACCCUUUCGCCGGUUCACCAAUUGUCCUUGGUAGGCACUAACCACAGCAUGCCAGGAACAACACACAAGUCACAAUUUGGCUCUUGUAAAAGUCACUCAGAUCUUUACACCAUUUUUCCUGCUGUCAACACAUCAACUUUAACUUCAUCUAAAUGUUCACUUGCUGCCUAAUAUAUUCAUGCUAGUACUAAUUACUAAGUUUCUAAUGAAUUCCAGCCAGUUAAAAAGAAAGAAGGAAAGUUGUUGUUUAUGCUGUUCACUUAAACCAGAAUAAUUGAGAAACUUUUUCUCUGAUAUACCUGACAAUUUGUUUAAAGAUGUAUUCAACAAUUUGAGGAACGUGCGUUUUCAAGCAGUUAUUUAAUAAACCAAUCAUGUCACAGCAGCACAAUAAAAAAAAUGAUUAAGGUCAAGAGCUAUAGUUAAUGUUCACAGAAUGAAGAAAAAGUGUGAUCUCUUACUUUAACUGUGGCAUGAUUGAUGGAACCCGAUGGGCAGAUAGGCUGGCUUGAGUAUUACAGAAGAUUCUGAUCUCCUGGUAUAAUUACUUAUUGCUUUGGCAAUAAGUAAUUAUAAUAAUUACUCUUUACAGUUUAUAUAUAUAUACAUAUAUAUAUUGUGCCUUGAAAGCACUGGAAGAUAGCAUGUAGUGCACAAGGGAUUUAGAAGGAUUUCAAGAUUUCAAGCUUACUACAUGAUUACAGAAGCCCAAAAAAGCCCAUGCAUUCACUUAGCAGUGAUGUAUUUCAUAUGGAAUCUAUCUAUUCAAAUAUUAGGCUUAUUAUUUAAAUAUGAUGUUUGGGCUAGUUGUUAGAGCUUCAGCUUCCUGAAAUGAUAUGCUAACAAAAACAUUGUAAUUUAAAUUAGUUUGAAGUUGAAAUUAUGUAUAGGCAUGGAUCGAAGCGAUACAAUUCAGUUUGUCUUUGCUUUAUAAUUGGAGCAAGAAUAAAACUUUGAAUCUUACAGAUGCAAGAUUUAUCUUCUAAUAUAUAUUUGAUAUUCUUAGAUUUUCUCUUAAGCUGUUAUGUGACCUCUUAUUUCUUCAAAAUUAAUACUGUACAUUAUGAAUAAUAAAUAAUAACACUUACUUGACA